UAUCGACCGAUAUGCUAAGCAGCCUGCGAGCGGACCUAGCAGGGGCAUAACAGAGGGAUUAAAGGGUGUAGCUUACUGAUCCCUAAGAAGGACCAACGUGACUGCAAAAUAAUGCGGAUACAGAUUACCUAGACGGCGUUAAAAGGCCUCAACUGUUCAAGGUGGCGGAUGGAUCUUCCAGUGCCCUCGAGGUUAACCGCGGACGUCAUCGUGUGAUGAUCACCCGAGGACCCUCCAGGAGUCAAGCGGUGGAAGACCCUCGGCCACGGCGCUGCGGGGAGUCGUCUCCUGGAGUGCAGCGGGAGCUACUGGACUAUUGCGAGAGUUGAUGAACCAGAGGCUGAUUAGGUUUAAUGUGGUUUUGAUAUGAAAAUCCCAAUUUGCGUUUGUUCAUGUAACAAUCAGAGCUUGAAAAUGUUUUAGUUUUAAAUGUUGAACAUUUGAAAUGUCAAAAUAAAAGAAUAUUCACAUAAAACCAAUAUCUGUUUGAUAUUUACAA